rnacentral:rRNA from 1 species
UUGCGCCUACGGGGGGCAGCAGUGAGGAAUAUUGGUCAAUGGUCGGGAGACUGAACCAGCCAAGCCGCGUGAGGGAUGAAGGUACAGAGUAUCGUAAACCCCUUUUGUCAGGGAACAAAGGCGGGGACGUGUCCCCGGAUGAGUGUACCUGAAGAAAAAGCAUCGGCUAACUCCGUGCCAGCAGCCGCGGUAAUACGGAGGAUGCGAGCGUUAUCCGGAUUUAUUGGGUUUAAAGGGUGCGCAGGCGGGCUGUUAAGUCCGCGGUCAUAGACCGGGGC